UGCACAACCACCCUGGCACACUCUGCUUUCACAGGCAGCUCUUGUGCUCCCGACGUGUCAUAUCCCACGGGGCUGUUGCAUACGGAGCCCGAAGCCAAGAGAGCUGGCUCUGCAGUUUGGGACUGAAUUCCUUGCCAGUACUGGCCUGACAGUGCGUGUGAGCCCCCUGGUAGCUCCGAGCCCCUCAGGUUUUAGAUACCAUUUUCCUUUCAUUUGCAGUUCCUCCCAGUGGCAGCAGGUCUGACACGACCAGUCAGACAGAGAAGGUGGCGAUGGGGCUCCUAUCAGAGAUCUGAACUUUCUGGGAAAGGACUCAAAUAGGCACAGCGUUGCCACGACAUCCCUGCUCGCAGAAGGGAUUUGAGCAGCAGCUCUAAUUAACUUGGAGCUGAGAUGCCCCAAGCUUUUCAACAUUCCUGUUCUCUGCACAGGCAAAUAUCUUCACACAGAGUCCAAGAGAGAAAAAAAAAAAAAUAAA